UACGUAGGUGGCAAGCGUUGUCCGGAAUUAUUGGGCGUAAAGCGCGCGCAGGUGGUUCCUUAAGUCUGAUGUGAAAGCCCACGGCUCAACCGUGGAGGGUCAUUGGAAACUGGGGAACUUGAGUGCAGAAGAGGAAAGUGGAAUUCCAAGUGUAGCGGUGAAAUGCGUAGAGAUUUGGAGGAACACCAGUGGCGAAGGCGACUUCUGGUCUGUAACUGACACUGAGGCGCGAAAGCGUGGGGAG
rnacentral:rRNA from 1 species